rnacentral:misc_RNA from 1 species
GAGAAUCCAGACAAGCCGGUAUUCGGAAAUCCGACGUAUGACGGCGUGAUAGCUGGGAGAGUGUCGGGUCGGAAGUGGAAGCAGCCAAGGAAGCAGAGGGCGUCGGCGAAGCUAGUGAGCAGGAAGGGCACUACGUUCGAGCAGAGGGAGCAGCAGAAGGAGAUAAAGAGAGCUUACAGAGAGAGAAUGAAUGAGUUGAAGGAUGAGAUAAAGAGGAAUAAGGAGCAGAAGAGGAAGAAGAGGGAGGAGAGGGAGAAGAAGAACCAGGAAAAUAUAUUGAGGUCUGGGACUAAGUUGCAGAAGAUUACGAAUCCAAAGACAUUGAAGAAGAUUGCCAAGUCUAAGGAUAGGAAGUUGCUCAAGGUUGUUCCUGAUGAUGUAUUCGAUAAGAACAAGAAAUAGCUUUACUGCUUUGGCUUUUUUAUUUU